rnacentral:rRNA from 1 species
CGCGGCCUAUCAGCUUGUUGGUGAGGUAACGGCUCACCAAGGCGACGACGGGUAGCCGGCCUGAGAGGGUGACCGGCCACACUGGAACUGAGACACGGUCCAGACUCCUACGGGAGGCAGCAGUGGGGAAUAUUGCACAAUGGGCGCAAGCCUGAUGCAGCGACGCCGCGUGGGGGAUGAAUGCCUUCGGGUUGUAAACCCCUUUCAGGAGGGACGAAGCGAAAGUGACGGUACCCCCAGAAGAAGCCCCGGCCAACUACGUGCCAGCAGCCGCGGUAGUACGUAGGGGGCGAGCGUUGUCCGGAUUUAUUGGGCGUAAAGAGCUCGUAGGCGGCUCAACAAGUCGGCCGUGAAAGCCCGAGGCUCAACCUCGGGAUGCCGGUCGAAACUGUUGUGGCUAGGGUCCGGUAGAGGAGAGUGGAAUUCCCGGUGUAGCGGUGAAAUGCGCAGAUAUCGGGAGGAACACCAGUAGCGAAGGCGGCUCUCUGGGCCGGCACCGACGCUGAGGAGCGAAAGCUAGGGGAGCAAACAGGAUUAGAUACCCUGGUAGUCCUAGCCGUAAACGUUGGGUACUAGGUGUGGCGGAUUCAUUGACAUCUGCCGUGCCGAAGCUAACGCAUUAAGUACCCCGCCUGGGGAGUACGG